GGAGGGUACGGCUCAGGGGUAGAGCGCAUGCCUAAUAUGCACGAGGUCCUGGGUUCAACUCUCAGGACCUCCA
rnacentral:tRNA from 1 species